GCAAUGAGAGUUGUGCUAAGGUAGCGUGAUAAGUUGUCUUUUAAUUGGAGAAUGGAAUGAAUGGUUUGAAUGUGGAAUAGCUGUCUUUAUAAAAUAUUAUGAAUUUUCCUUUUAAGUGAAAAGGCUUAGUUGUUUGUAAAAGACGAGAAGACCCUGUCGAGUUUGAUUAAGAUUAUUAAGAGUUUAUGAUUUGAAAUUUUGUUGGGGCAAUAAAAAUCAAGAUAACGGUUUAUUUAUGUUUAGAUCCUUUUGAAAGAAUAAAGCAAAAACUACCGCAGGGAUAACAGCGUUAUCCUUUUUAAGAGAUCUAAUUGAGAAAAGGGUUUGCGACCUCGAUGUUGGAUUAUA
rnacentral:rRNA from 1 species